rnacentral:lncRNA from 1 species
ACAUUUCCCCAAGCAGAUGUCGGCGCCUGAUCCCUCAAUGAAGAGUCAGCCCAUUAAGCAGAAAGUGUUUAUCUUUCCUUCCGCAUUCCCCACUGAGUUAUAUCCUCGUGGACGACGGUUGUUUUUUCUUCCUCCCAACACAUAUAUUGGGAUAGGUUUCCCUAUUGAGUUAUAUCCUCACUAGGACGAGUCUUGAUUCAGUUUGCCUCUUUGGUUUGAUCCUAAAUUGGCCUCUUGUGACUGUUUCCUGUGUUAAUAUUGGGAUAGGUUUCCCUAUUGAGUUAUAUCCUCACUAGGACGAGUCUUGAUUCAGUUUGCCUCUUUGGUUUGAUCCUAAAUUGGCCUCUUGUGAC